GAUGAAGAACGUAGCGAAAUGCGAUAAGUAAUGUGAAUUGCAGAAUUCAGUGAAUCAACCAAUCUUUGAACGCACAUUGCGCCCGCUAGUAUUCUGGCGGGCAUGCCUGUCCGAGCGUCAUUUCAACCCUCAAGCCCCCGGGCUUGGUGUUGGGGAUCGGCGAGCCUCCGCGCCCGCCGUCCCCUAAAUCUAGUGGCGGUCUCGCUGUAGCUUCCUCUGCGUAGUAGCACACCUCGCACUGGGAAACAGCGCGGCCACGCCGUUAAACCCCCAACUUCUGAACGUUUGACCUCGGAUCAGGUAGGAAUACCCGCUGAACUUAAGCAUAUCAAUAAGCGGAGGA
rnacentral:misc_RNA from 1 species